UGUUAUUAAUAGUUACGUUACUCCUGAACCAAUGAUGCGAGUCAAUGCAAAAAAACUGCUUCCGGGUUAACCCUGUAGAUCGAAUAGGCGUUCACCGAAAAGGAUAUUUUGCUGUAAAUACUUGGUUGCUCCUCUCUGGAUUACACUAUAUAAUCGCAGAUCUAAAUGCACAGAGGAUUUGAACGAUACUGGUAGCAUCUAUUCCAUAUCAAAGAGUUCGCCAGGCAUCGUUGAAUCCUCAAAAGCAUUCCAAGAGAGGGCAAUAAUCGAGACCUAGAGGCAAUAAUACCUAGAAGCACUCUGUAAAUAAUACCAGGAAGGCUGAAAGACGACUUGAAAGUUUAAACUUCCCAAAGUUACCCCACGACAAGUAAAUCAAGAUGGAAGACCAGAAUGACAUGAACAUGCGCUCUGAGCUGGAGGAGAUCCAGAUGCAAUCCAACAUGCAGACCGAUGAGGUGAGUUUGUUUGUUUGUUUGUUUGUUUGUUUGUUUUAUUCACCAUGUAAAAUUAUUGUUUACAGAUAAUAAAAUUCAGUGGGUUACAUCGAGAUAUAAUACAUAGUAGGAACAGUGCACAAACAAAAAAUAUUUGAAUCGUCAAGACUUCAAAGUAAUGAUAAUAGUAAUUAAAAUGGUGCUUAGAAAGCGCUUACCACCGAAGUCUCUAAGCGCUAAGUAUAAACUAGGAAUAUAAAACAUGUUAUUAAAGUGUUCGAACCACCAAAUGUAUUUUGUUCUGUAUGUAAAAGGUUCCAUCAGGCUAUAUAAUAUUAAAACUAUGAGCUUCUAACAUUACUUCUAUGAAGAGAUACUCCAACAUUAAAUACACCCUUGGUUAAUAAACAAACAUGUUCAUGUAAGAGCGACUUGUGAGUCUAUUACUUGACACAUGGAAUUAGGGCUCGCACAGAUCCCAACUCCUUAUCAGCUGGCCUAUAUUGAGGCUGAUUCUAUGCAUUCUAGCUGUAUACAAAUGAUAUUUUCUUUUAGGUAGCUGGUACACUUUAUAAUUUCAGGACCUACAUGGCACUCCAAAGGGAUCCUGAUCAGAUUACCAUCUAACAUUUAGGGCACUCCCAGACUUUAUCAAUUAUUCAAGUAAAGUGAUACAGCCUCCUUGUAUUAACAAUGCAGUGUAUGAUUAAAUUGCAAAAAGAAAUACUGACAAAA